UUAAGAUUAGAUUUCGGAAUAAUUUAUCUACUUGAAAAAUCAGCUACAAUGAAAAUUUAGGGUUUUAUGGCGAGAAGAUGCUGAAUCAAUUUAUAUUUACUACACAGCAAAAUUAAGCUUGUUGAGUGGACUUUGAUGAAAAAGCUCUCGGCGUUAUUUUAAACAAUUCCAUUCAAGUAACACUUUUGCAGAAGCUCAGCCUGAUCAAGAUAAAUUAUUAAUGAGAAUCAUUCAAGUAUAGUAAAUGGACAUUAAAAAA
rnacentral:lncRNA from 1 species